GGUCCUGUGUGGCUCAGUUGGUAGAGCAUGGCACUUGAAAUGACAGGGUUGUGGGUUCAAUUCCCACGGGGGACCA